UACGUAGGUGGCAAGCGUUGUCCGGAUUUACUGGGCGUAAAGAGCGCGCAGGCGGUCGUUCAAGUCGCGUGUGAAAGCCCCCGGCUCAACUGGGGAGGGUCACGCGAUACUGAUCGACUCGAAGGCAGGAGAGGGUAGUGGAAUUCCCGGUGUAGUGGUGAAAUGCGUAGAUAUCGGGAGGAACACCAGUGGCGAAAGCGGGUCUCUGGGCCGUAACUGACGCUGAGGAGCGAAAGCGUGGGGAGCGAACAGG
rnacentral:rRNA from 1 species